AAGUUUCAACAACGGAUCUCUUGGCUCUCGCAUCGAUGAAGAACGCAGCGAAAUGCGAUAAGUAAUGUGAAUUGCAGAAUUCAGUGAAUCAUCGAAUCUUUGAACGCACCUUGCGCUCCUUGGUAUUCCUUGGAGCAUGCCUGUUUGNGUAUCAU
rnacentral:rRNA from 1 species